UGUUCAAUUACGUUCCUUCAUCGCUCUGUUUCUCAGUUCCAUUCCGAAUCUCGAACUUCAACUAUUUAGAUAUAGAAACUAGAGAACAGCGUCAUCAAAUUGCAAGGUGUUUUACUCACUGUAGAGCGAAGUUGAGAAUUGUGUUGCCAUAAAUAUAAAUAAAUUAAAUCUGUGUAGGUGAAGAGAAUGGAAUCGAGUCGAAGAGCGGUGGAAUCGUACUGGCGGUGGCGCUUGAUCGAUUCAGCUACCUCCGAUGAAGAGAAAGUCACACCUGUCUAUAAACUUGACGAAAUCUGCGAGCUCCUACGCUCUUCUCAUCCUGGCAUCGUCAAGGAGCUCUCAGAAUUCAUCCUUAAACGCCUCGACAAUAAAAGCCCCGUCGUCAAACACAAGGCUUUGAGAUUGAUCAAGUAUGCGGUUGGAAAGUGUGUAGAGUUUAGAAGGGAAAUGCAGAGACAUUCAGUGGCAAUUCGGCAGAUGUUACAGUACAAGGGUCAAUUGGAUCCUCUGAAAGGCGAUGCACUCAACAAGGCUGUUAGAGACACUGCUCAAGAGGCUAUCUCUGCUAUUUUUUCUCCAGAUGAUAACAUCAGCAAGCCACAGUCUUUGGCUUCUGCUUCCGCUGAUCUCAAUAGACGGAUCGAAGGGUUUGGGAACACCAACUAUCAAGCUCCUUCUCAGGAUAAGAAAUCGUUUCUCAGUGAGGUUGUGGAUAUUGGAAGUGCAACCAUUAAGCAAGGACUCAGUGCCUUCACACAGGGCCAUUCUUCGCUUAUCAAGAAUGAAGCUGCGAGUGGAACAUACAAGGACAGAUAUGAACCCACUGCGUAUGAUAGUGGAAUUACGUCGGCACUUUCGAAGAAUCAAACUGGUGGCCCUUGGAAUCAGGAUGCAGGCGUAACUAGGAUGGAAAUGUCGAAUGGGAAAACUGGUGCUGGUUAUGCAGAGAGUAAGACACAAGAGGAGAGAUUGCUCGAGACAGUUGCAAGUUCUGGAGGCGUGCGCCUGCAGCCCAGUCGAGAUGCCAUUCAAGUUUUCCUAAGAGAGGCUUCAAAGUUGGAUGCCAUGUCUUUAUGUCAUGCCCUUGAACAAAAGCUCCAAUCCCCAAUGUGGCAGGUUCGUGUCAAAGCUGUUUGUGUCCUAGAAUCUAUCCUUAGAAACAAAGAUGAUGAUAUUUUUUUACGUAUGGCUAUUUACUUUGCUGAGAACAAGGAUCUGGUGUUGAGAUGUUCGGAUUCCCCCCAAGCCUCUUUAAGGGAAAAGGCAAACAAGGUUCUUGGUCUUUUAGGUGGAGGCCAACCAAACAGUUCCAUUAAUUCAGAGAAGGCUAUGAAGAUGGAUAGUGCUGCUGUUGCUGAGUUUCCUGACUUGUUAGACACUGGUGAUUUUAAUGACUAUCAUGGAACAGGCGAUGCUACAAAGAGAACAAAUGACACAAAUAUAGCAAAUUUGACACCAUCCAUACCUCCGGCUCUGGCUGAUGAUUUAUUUGGAAAUUUUAGUAACUCUGGAGUAGCUAGUAGCGAACGAAAAAAUGAUGAUGACCCCUUUGCCGAUGUGUCAUUUCAUUCUAAUGAAAACAAAGAGCAUAGCGAUGUCUUUUCAAGGAUGACUGUUGGAAAUGAUAAACUGGGUCAUCAUGUGAGUAAUGACAUUUUUGCCACUAAUUCCAGGCACGGAAAUAAUGGAGAGUUUGUUGAUCAUUUAUUGGCUGGCUUGUCUGUAGAUGAAAAUACAUCCAGUGCAAAACAGAAAGCAACAUCCCCUGCCAUGCAAUCUGAUUAUUUUUUUUCUGGUUUAAAUAAUCAUGCUAGUCAUCUGAGACCGGACAACGGUUUUGGUGGCAUGUUGGGCUCUCAGGCAGUUGGCUUCAAUGUAAAUUCCGUAUUUCCUUCUGGCCAUCCAUCUUAUACUGCACAACCUGGCAUUAUGUUGAACCAACCAUAUUCUUCUCAGCCACUUAAUUGUGGUGCCAUGGGAAAUCUCUUGGCUCAGCAGCAAUUUCUGGCAACAGUGACUAAUUUCCAAAACCUCAAUAUUGUCAACAGGCAUGAUGCCAGUUCUGCUAAAAAUGCUGGAAGCAAUGAAAGAACACCUCUACCGGACAUAUUCCAAUCAAAAUUUUCAGCGCAAACUCCUAGCUCAAUGAUCAGCAGUUCAAAGAAAGAAGAAACUAAAGCAUUUGAUUUUAUCUCAGACCAUCUUGCUACAGCAAAUGAUUCAAGGAGAGUGAUUUGAAAUUUCAAUAUCUUACUAUUGUUGACAAAGAUUUAUGGUGCUUUACAACGCUGUGGUGGAUUUCACACGAAUAAAUCAAACCGGUUCAUAAUUUCCGAUGAAGAAAGUUGAUUUUCUUUGGCAUGAUGGAGCAUUGUCGAUGUUUUUCUAUUGCCCAUGUCGUCAACAAAAUAUGAGCACAGUUAUAGCAAUUGGAAGAAUAUGAAAUGAACCAAAGGCUGUGCAGAGCAGAAAAUGAAAUUGUUAAUGUGGAUCACAACUCGAAGGUAAAUUAUUGACAGUGAAGGGCCCUCAAUAGCCCAAGCCAAGUCCUUCCAAGAU